rnacentral:tRNA from 1 species
GCAUCCGUAGCUCAGCUGGAUAGAGUACUCGGCUACGAACCGAGCGGUCGGAGGUUCGAAUCCUCCCGGAUAUGCACCA